AACCACUGCGCUACCAGGGAAGCCCUCCCCACCCCCUCUUUUAAGAUGUCCCCCAAGAACUGAAUCUAAGAGGAUAGAAGCUUUUCCUCCCUGCAGUUGGAUUUGAAGGACACACAGCGUGAGCAGAGAUGCAGUCAGAAAAGGAAAGUGUGGCACCUUCCACAUCCAGGAGGCGAAUCCAAAGGGCUGGAAGGUGGUAUCAGGGUGAGGCUGCCAGGGAUGCCUGUGUCGAGGGGGAGGACAGGGAAAGAAGGCCACAGUGUGAUGUUCCAAGCAAGGGGUGAGGUUGGACGUUUCGUCAGAGGCACUGGGUUCCUGCACAAGGUGCCUGCAGCCGUCACCCGAGGCAGAAAUGCCGGGGGAUACGGGGCCGCCGGUAGGAACUAGGCGCCUGGGGCCGAGUCCAG